UUUGGGAGGCUGAGGCAGGAGGAUGGCUUGAGCCCAGGAAUUUGAGACCACCCUGGGCAACAAAGUGAGACCCCCAUUUCUACAAAAA
rnacentral:miRNA from 1 species